CGAGAAUCACAAUAACAGAAAUGAGUUUUCUGCAAGUAAGACUCUCAAUGCGCCUUCUAACAAAGUGAAUUCAUUGCAAAGUAAUGACUCCAAACACACAAAUACUUUCGUUUCUCUCUCUCUCAGACACUCAUCAAUCCACUGACCUCCACUAGUCGCACAGGAAGCUACAAACACACAUGAAAUGCAGAGGAGAAGCUUAAUACGAGAUGUGUUUGGCAAUGUUGUCGCGGUAGAUUACUAGCACGUGAUGUUGUAGCACCAAGAGGAAGUGCAAGACAAACGUCCCGUUACAGGCAGUGACACAUCUGGGCUCCAUGCUCGAGGCCAUACUACGGAGGAAUGAGACUGAAACGCGAGGUUUGAGUUUGUUACGAACGCAUGAGCAUGAGUUUGUUGUGGUUGUGGUAUGAUGGUGUGCUGCCGAGUAGGCACAGCAAAUGGGGAGCAGCGUGGGAGCUGUGACAGUGAGGCCCAUCAGAUUGGCUCACCCUCUACGCAGAGGAACAAAUCCACGUGAACGACCAGUAGGAAUCGGUGCACAAGGGUCUGUUGGUGUGCAGCUUGAGGGGGAGGGAAGGGGAGAGGGCGUUGGAACAGGCUUGAGUAUCGUCCUUGGGGGAAUGAUUUUGUCCUCAGCUGAUAAGCCUUGAAUUCCUACACUGCAGCAGGUCCAAUGUUGGUGGUCUUGUGUAAGGAAGAGAGAGAGAGGGAGGUUACAGUGAGGUGUUGUUGUUGUCGACGUCGUGUGGAGUUAUUCCAGAGGCUGUUUAUGACCAGAACUGCAAACGCAUGUGCAAGUGCAAGUGAAUUUGUCUGGGCAUUGUACAUAGUGGAUUUUCACUAGCUUUCAGCUAGUGAGAACCGAUCGAUGAUGAAUGUGCGGUGAAGUAGAAAGAAAGUCAAUGUUUCAACUGGUGAAAAAGAACUGCUAGAUGACCGUCAAACAUGCCCGUUUCUCUUUUGCAAUAUAAGCAACGAGUGAUCAGCAAGUGAGACGCAUUUUUUUAUCUCUGUUUGUUUGUUUGUUUGUUUGUUUGUUGUCUCGCGGGCUUCAUAUGAGUAUUCAUACAGGCAUUCCAGUACUUCGAAAGAGUUGCUGAAUCUGAUCUGCAGUAAAUUGACCUUAUCAUGAAGCUCCUCUCAAGCACGGCGACAAUUGCAACUCCAUGCAACUCAUGUUGACUUUGUUCACGCAAGAACAAAUCAAUACUCUGAGCUUCAAAUCACUUUGCAACCAUUAGAUAAUCCAUGUUUCCAGCUACUCGUCACAACUCAGAUUUGUUCCUUGCCCUCGUUAUUAAACUAACGACUUUAUUUGCUUGCUUCUUACUUUCUUUCAACUACUUUGUUGUUUUCUUCUUUUUUCCUUUUUUCUUCAGUAACAAUAAUAUUGUUAUCCUGUAUUCAUGCAUGGUAAUAGAUAACAUGGUUGGGGUGGGGGGUUGGGGGCAGGGCCAGCAACUACAAUUAUAGAAGAAGCCUUGAGGCAAGGACAAGACAAGGGCAUGAGACACACAUGGGCCAUCCUCCUCCAUCAAGCUCAGAAGGAGGAGAUGAAGGAGAAAAGGGAAGCGGGGGGUCUUAGACUUGGACUUGGACUGCCUGCACUUCGAUGAGCAGUGCCAGUUCAUCCUUUAGAUCCCAAACAUAUAAACAUAGUGCAAGAUUGGAAGGAGGCUGUGAAAUAGAAGGCUUUCACUUCCAUUCCAUGUAAAUCCCAUCUUUCCACUUAGUUUGUGUGUGUGUGUGUGUUUGUGUAUGUUUUCAACUGAUGGCUGAUUAAUCAACUGAGAGAGAGAUUGAUUGAGUAACUUGCCA